GGGGAAUAUUGCGCAAUGGGGGAAACCCUGACGCAGCAAUACCGCGUGAAGGAUGAAGGUUUUCGGAUUGUAAACUUCUUUAGUCAGGGACGAAUAAAUGACGGUACCUGAAGAAUAAGCCACGGCUAACUACGUGCCAGCAGCCGCGGUAAUACGUAGGUGGCGAGCGUUGUCCGGAAUUACUGGGUGUAAAGGGCGUGUAGGCGGGAAUGUAAGUCAGAUGUGAAAUCCCAGGGCUCAACCCAUAACCUGCGUUUGAAACUAUAGUUCUUGAGUGUCGGAGAGGCAAUCGGAAUUCCGUGUGUAGCGGUGAAAUGCGUAGAUAUACGGAGGAACACCAGUGGCGAAGGCGGAUUGCUGGACGAUAACUGACGCUGAGGCGCGAAAGCGUGGGGAGCAAACA
rnacentral:rRNA from 1 species